rnacentral:lncRNA from 1 species
AUGUAAAUUUUUUUAAGUAUUUUUUCAAUGAUAUUUUGAUUUUCAAUACAAAAUUAGAAUAGCUAUAACUUUAAUUUUCAAGAUCCUAUGAUAGAGAUUAGAUCUCAGUCUAUCCCUGAGGGUUCGACCGCAUCCACAGAUGACAAGAUCUGUGAUCAGAUGCUUGAUACAAGAUCCUGUUAUGUUAGAAAGCUAGGGCAUGGGAUCAAAGCUCUCCCAUCCUCACACUCGUCUAGGGCUGACGUCCAUGCUGCCUACGAUAUACGACUGACGC